CUCUCUCUCUCUCUCUCUCUCUCUCUCAAAGGGUUAAAUCAUAGCGCCGCCUCCAUCACCCCUCUUAUCUCUCCCCAUCAUCAUCGCCUUUUAUGGCAAAAUUUCAGGUGAGGUAAACUUUUGCCAGGUUUUGCUAGGUUUGUGUGACUGUAUGAGGCAAAACAUUUAAUGCUUUCUCCGUUUUUCACCAAACACGAUGUGUUGCAGGUUGUUACUUGAAGUUUCUCUUAGUGAAUUCCCGGACAUAUCUUCCUACAGCCUUGCUCAUCUCAUUCCAGGCAGAGGCUAUGUCAUUUAUUUGGUUUUAUUCUUGUGUAAUAGGAGCUCUUGUACCUAUUUAGACCAGAUCC